rnacentral:ribozyme from 14 species
CAACACCCUGCAAUAUAUAUAUAUAUAUUAUGGAAAAAAGAUACUAACUAUAAAGCUUCAUGAUUUUCCGGGUAACCAGCGCCAGGAUAGCUACAAUCAGAGCAUAGAUGACGGUCAAUAUUUUGUCAUCUUCUUCUUUCUUUCUAUCUUCUUUUGUUUU